UACGGAGGGUGCGAGCGUUGUCCGGAAUCACUGGGCGUAAAGGGCGCGUAGGUGGCUUGGUAAGCGUGUGGUGAAAGCUCGGGGCUCAACCCCGAGUCGGCCAUGCGAACUGCCGAGCUUGAGCACUGUAGAGGCAGACGGAAUUCCGGGUGUAGCGGUGGAAUGCGUAGAGAUCCGGAAGAACACCAGUGGCGAAGGCGGUCUGCUGGGCAGUUGCUGACACUGAGGCGCGACAGCGUGGGGAGCAAAC
rnacentral:rRNA from 1 species